rnacentral:rRNA from 1 species
CCUACGGGAGGCAGCAGUGGGGAAUAUUGCACAAUGGGGGAAACCCUGAUGCAGCGAUGCCGCGUGGAGGAAGAAGGUUUUCGGAUUGUAAACUCCUUUUAUCAGGGACGAUAAUGACGGUACCUGAAGAAAAAGCCCCGGCUAACUACGUGCCAGCAGCCGCGGUAAUACGUAGGGGGCAAGCGUUAUCCGGAUUUACUGGGUGUAAAGGGAGCGUAGACGGUUAUGUAAGUCUGGAGUGAAAGCCCGGGGCCCAACCCCGGGACUGCUUUGGAAACUGUGUAACUGGAGUACAGGAGGGGCAGGCGGAAUUCCUGGUGUAGCGGUGAAAUGCGUAGAUAUCAGGAGGAACACCGGCGGCGAAGGCGGCCUGCUGGACUGAAACUGACGUUGAGGCUCGAAAGCGUGGGGAGCAAACAGGAUUAGAUACCCUUGUAGUC